rnacentral:rRNA from 1 species
UACAGAGGCUACGAGCGUUAGGCGGAAUCACUGGGCUUAAAGCGUGUGUAGGUGGAUGGGUAAGUACCUUGUGAAAUCCCACGGCUCAACCGUGGAACUGCUCGGUAUACUGCCUGUCUUGAGGCACUCAGGGGCGAGCGGAACAGAUGGUGGAGCGGUGAAAUGCGUAGAUAUCAUCUGGAACGCCAAUGGUGAAGACAGCUCGCUGGGGGUGUACUGACACUGAGACACGAAAGCCAGGGGAGCAAACGGGAUUAGAUACCCCGGUAGUCCUGGCCCUAAACAAUGUCCACUAGGUUGUGGCACCACUGACGGUGUCAUGCCCGAAACGAAAGCGUUAAGUGGACCGCCUGGGAAGUACGGUCGCAAGGCUAAA